CUCGGCUCACCUCUGACCACCUCUCCUCGUCUCUGCUCCGUAAACCUAACAGCCUUCCUUCUCUAACCACGAGUUUUGCACUUCCUGGUUCUCAUCUGCCUGUGGCUGUGCAGUGUUUUACUGCUUCAGCUCUGUCUAGAGAGAUCGGCAUCUUUUUGAUGAAACUCUGCUUCCUCCUUGACCACAAGCCCUGGCUGCCCCUCUCUGGAGUCCCCGCUUAUCCCACAAGCUCUCUGCUAAAGCACUCACACAGGCUCCCUAACUCGCAUCCCUGCAGGACUCCUUUUCCUCUGCGCUGCUGUGAUAACAUUGUGACUGGAUAUGGAAUGGAAUAAACCACCCUCCUUUCCUGCUCAACUUCCACUCCUCUAACAUUCAUCCUCCAUCCAGCGGGCCCCCUCCACACACCGCGGCUCUCCAUCCCUCUCCUGUCCAGAUGACUAUUUUUAGCGGCAGCACUGCUAUUCUGGAAUUUGUUGCUGACUGGCUGCUGCUGGGUGUCUGGGCGGCGAUCUCUUCUGGAAUGUCUGGCCCACUCUCAAACCACUCCAGAGUCCCAGCGCAGGGUGGAUGGCUCGAGGCUCUGAUUACAACUUUA